CCCACUCCAUGUUGAUGCACAUCCGGCCUUCGUCCCCCUCCACCAGGUCAAUGUGCCUCAUCUCCUCCAUGUAGCAGGCGUUGGUACCGGUACCUGGGCCAAGCACGUGGACAGGACCCCGAGGUCUGCAAGAAGCAGGAUCUCCCUCUGGCUCUCCUGGAGAGAUGGACCCCAGCUCUUCCCCCUUGCUGCAGCUCACCGACAAUAAGGCCAACUUCACAGUUGUGGUCAUCAUAGCCACAGGUCAUCAUGGUUCCCACGGUGUCGUUCACCACGGCCACAAUGUCAAUGUCAAAGUCCUGGGAUGGUGGAAACCAGAGUGACCCAAGGGAGACAAAACGGACCGAAACAUCUGCAGGGAGCCAAGGUCGCCUGUGCCAGGGACCCCUGUGCACCCAUCCCAGCCUCUUACCCCUCUUUUCUUGAUGGACUUGCGCAGCAGGGACACCACGUCCCUGCCCUCCACGCUGCUGCACUUGAACCCCUUCGUCCACGUCACCAGGAUGCUCUGCAGGGGAACAACAAGAGGGAAGCUUGGAGGUGACACCUGACUCCUGGCACAGGGGACAUGAGGCCCUGCAGGCAAACCCCUCGUUAUCAGCUCACCAGCUGCGCUAUCAGCCACAGCUUCCGUGUCAGAUAACGUUUAUGGCCGCAAAAUAACCGCAAAAUAACGAGAGCUGCUCUUGCUCGAUUCCCAUGAUCAGGUUUGAUUGAGCCCUGCAGCAAAACCUGUUCACAAGCCCAAGGAACGCUCCUUGACCCAUCCCUGAGGGGUGAGAUGCUCAUUGUGCCUACGGAAUGCUCCUUGACCUGUUCCUGUGGGCUGGGGGGCACCUGGCCAGGUGCCAAGCUGAGCCCUGGGGGGCAGGAAUGGGACUCGACUGCAUUUGAAAUCUCCAACCCUAUGGGCACAGCCCCCUUAGGGAGGCAGACCCCACCCUUCCUUAGAGCUGGGGAAACUGGCAGUGACAGGACAGUGGCAGUGACAGUCACAGUGACAGUGAUAGCAUGUUUGGAAAAGAUGACAAGCAACAGGGUUAUUGGGAAGUGAUGCCAAGCUGCAUUCCCUGAAGGAAUGUUCCGUCCUCUCUGUCCCUGACCCUGCAGCCACUGAGUCAUUGAAAUAUUGAUAAAAAAUAAAAGGACAGUGCUGUUCCUAAGCUCCACUCACCCAGAGCUUGGGAAAUGGAUUUACAGGAACGAGAGAUGUGGCCCUUCAGGAAAGGUCACGUGGCUCAAAAUCAAUGAGCCUAAUUAAAUGCCUAAGAUAA